rnacentral:rRNA from 1 species
AGGGAAACCGGAGCUAAUACCGGAUAAUAUUUCGAACCGCAUGGUUCGAUAGUGAAAGGUGGUUUUGCUAUCACUUAUAGAUGGACCCGCGCCGUAUUAGCUAGUUGGUAAGGUAACGGCUUACCAAGGCGACGAUACGUAGCCGACCUGAGAGGGUGAUCGGCACACUGGAACUGAGACACGGUCCAGACUCCUACGGGAGGCAGCAGCC